AUAACAAAAUUUACGUCGUCUUCUCUUCUCUUCAUAGUAU
rnacentral:sRNA from 1 species